AGGCCCAGUUCUCUUCCUGCUCAGUGCUCUGUCGUGGUUUCCCUUGUAGUUGUCUGAGAGCGCGUUCCUGAUUCAAGUUUCUUCUGGUUUUUGACUUUGGCUUUGAUUUUGACUUCCCUGUAUUCUGUAUCCCUGACUUCUGGCUUUCUCUUAUCGUUGUGUCUAUUUCUGUAUCCCCUGACCUCGGCAAGUAUCCUGACUAUUCUUUGGUAUGUUAAGUCCGGCCAUUCUAAGGCCCGGUAAUACCUAUUAGUAAUCUGUGU